UGGGGUAUCGCCAAGCUGGUAAGGCACCGGUUUUUGAUACCGGCAUUCCCGUGGUUCGAAUCCAGGUACCCCCAGCCA
rnacentral:tRNA from 1 species